GUGAGGAAUAUUGGUCAAUGGGCGGAAGCCUGACCCAGCAACGCCGCGUGAAGGAAGAAGGUCUUCGGAUCGUAAACUUCUAUCCUUGGUGAAGAUAAUGACGGUAGCCGAGAAGGAAGCCCCGGCUAACUACGUGCCAGCAGCCGCGGCAAUACGUAGGGGGCAAGCGUUGUCCGGAAUGAUUGGGCGUAAAGGGCGCGUAGGCGGCCUGGUAAGUCUGGAGUGAAAGUCCUGCUUUUAAGGUGGGAAUUGCUUUGGAUACUGUCGGGCUUGAGUGCAGGAGAGGUAAGUGGAAUUCCCGGUGUAGCGGUGAAAUGCGUAGAGAUCGGGAGGAACACCAGUGGCGAAGGCGACUUACUGGACUGUAACUGACGCUGAGGCGCGAAAGUGUGGGGAGCAAACAGGAUUAGAUACCCGGGUAGUCC
rnacentral:rRNA from 1 species